UACGUAGGGUGCAAGCGUUGUCCGGAAUCAUUGGGCGUAAAGAGCUCGUAGGCGGUCCAUCACGUCGGGAGUGAAAAGCUGGGGCUUAACCCCAGUCCUGCUUCCGAUACGGGUGGACUAGAGGUAGGCAGGGGAGAACGGAAUUCCUGGUGUAGCGGUGAAAUGCGCAGAUAUCAGGAGGAACACCGGUGGCGAAGGCGGUUCUCUGGCUCUACCUGACGCUGAGGAGCGAAAGCGUGGGGAGCAAACAGG
rnacentral:rRNA from 1 species